rnacentral:rRNA from 1 species
UCUACGGGUGGCAGCAGUGGGGAAUAUUGGACAAUGGGCGAAAGCCUGAUCCAGCCAUGCCGCGUGUGUGAAGAAGGCCUUCGGGUUGUAAAGCACUUUCAGUGGGGAAGAAAGCCUUGGGGCUAAUACCCUCGAGGAAGGACAUCACCCACAGAAGAAGCACCGGCUAACUCCGUGCCAGCAGCCGCGGUAAUACGGAGGGUGCGAGCGUUAAUCGGAAUUACUGGGCGUAAAGCGCGCGUAGGCGGUCUGAUAAGCCGGUUGUGAAAGCCCCGGGCUCAACCUGGGAACGGCAUCCGGAACGGUCAGGCUAGAGUGCAGGAGAGGAAGGUAGAAUUCCCGGUGUAGCGGUGAAAUGCGUAGAGAUCGGGAGGAAUACCAGUGGCGAAGGCGGCCUUCUGGACUGACACUGACGCUGAGGUGCGAAAGCGUGGGUAGCAAACAGGAUUAGAUACCCGGGUAGUC